rnacentral:rRNA from 1 species
GGGAGAAAUUCAUUCGCGUUUCGCCGUCGACGUUUAGCGGACUCGAGACGGANGANGCGUUCGCGCUUUCACCGCUCAUUUCGUCAUUCGAUUCGAUAACGAACGCGUGCACUUUUCUCCUGGUAGGACGUCGCGAUCCGUUGGGUGUCGGUCUACGGCUCUCGAAGGAGACCGUGCGUACGGCUUGCCGUUACGUGCGGACUCGAGUGUCCCGGCUGACUCGCUCGACGGUAUACGAAAGGUUUAAGGCCGCUCUUUCUUUGAGCGUUCGACUCGUCGCAAGCGCGUCGUAUGUGUUGGCGAUCGGACCUAGUGCCGGUUCUGACCUUCGACGACUGUUGGCGACGAAGUUCUCGAACAGACCUCUAACCGAUCUGCGACGCUAUAGCUUUGGAUACUUUCAGGACCCGUCUUGAAACACGGACCAAGGAGUCUAGCAUGUACGCGAGUCAUUGGGAUUUCAAAUAAACCUAAAGGCGUAAUGAAAGUAAAAGUCAGCCUCGCGCUGACUAAGGGAAGACGAGCGGUUUACCCUUAAAAGUAGCCGUUCCGCACUCCCGGGGCGUCUCGUUCUCAUUGCGAGAAGAGGCGCACCAUGAGCGUACACGCUGGGACCCGAAAGAUGGUGAACUAUGCCUGGUCAGGACGAAGUCAGGGGAAACCCUGAUGGAGGUCCGUAGCGAUUCUGACGUGCAAAUCGAUCGUC